rnacentral:rRNA from 1 species
GAUGAACGCUGGCGGCGUGCCUAAUACAUGCAAGUCGAGCGAACGGACGAGAAGCUUGCUUUUCUGAUGUUAGCGGCGGACGGGUGAGUAACACGUAGAUAACCUACCUAUAAGACUGGGAUAACUUCGGGAAACCGGAGCUAAUACCGGAUAAUAUUUUGAACCGCAUGGUUCAAAAGUGAAAGACGGUCUUGCUGUCACUUAUAGAUGGAUCCGCGCUGCAUUAGCUAGUUGGUAAGGUAACGGCUUACCAAGGCAACGAUGCAUAGCCGACCUGAGAGGGUGAUCGGCCACACUGGAACUGAGACACGGUCCAGACUCCUACGGGAGGCAGCAGUAGGGAAUCUUCCGCAAUGGGCGAAAGCCUGACGGAGCAACGCCGCGUGAGUGAUGAAGGUCUUCGGAUCGUAAAACUCUGUUAUUAGGGAAGAACAUAUGUGUAAGUAACUGUGCACAUCCUGACGGUACCUAAUCAGAAAGCCACGGCUAACUACGUG